rnacentral:rRNA from 1 species
GGACCCGCACAAGCGGUGGAGCGUGUUCUUUAAUUCGAUGUUAAACGAAGAACCUUACCAGGACUUGACAUCCCUAUAACCGAUUUCCGAAAGGAAAUUUUCAUUUAGUUGGAUAGGUGACAGGUGCUGCAUGGCCGUCGUCAGCUCGUGUCGUGAGAUGUUUGGUUAAGUCCAUUAACGAGCGCAACCCUUGUCGUCAGUUGUAUUUUCUGGCGAAACUGCCCCGGCAACGGGGAGGAAGGGGGGAGUGAUGUCAGGUCAGUAUUGCCCUUACGUCCUGGGCUAGAAACGCGCUACAAUGGCCAGUACAACGGGAAGCGAAACAGUAAUGUGAAGCAAAUCCCAUCAAAACUGGUCCCAGUUCGGAUUGAGGGCUGAAACUCGCCCUCAUGAAGUCGGAAUCGCUAGUAAUCGCAGAUCAGCACGCUG